rnacentral:rRNA from 1 species
AUUGAACGCUGGCGGCAGGCCUAACACAUGCAAGUCGAACGGUAACAGGAAGCAGCUUGCUGCUUCGCUGACGAGUGGCGGACGGGUGAGUAAUGUCUGGGAAGCUGCCUGAUGGAGGGGGAGAACUACUGGAAACGGUAGCUAAUACCGCAUAAUGUCGCAAGACCAAAGAGGGGGACCUUCGGGCCUCUUGCCAUCGGAUGUGCCCAGAUGGGAUUAGAGUGUUGGUGGGGUAACGGCUCACCAAGGCGACGAUCCCUAGCUGGUCUGAGAGGAUGACCAGCCACACUGGAACUGAGACACGGUCCAGACUCCUACGGGAGGCAGCAGUGGGGAAUAUUGCACAAUGGGCGCAAGCCUGAUGCAGCCAUGCCGCGUGUAUGAAGAAGGCCUUCGGGUUGUAAAGUACUUUCAGCGGGGAGGAAGGGAGUAAAGUUAAUACCUUUGCUCAUUGACGGUACCCGCAGAAGGAGCACCGGCUAACUCCGUG